rnacentral:rRNA from 1 species
GAUGAACGCUGGCGGCGUGCCUAACACAUGCAAGUCGAACGAAGACAUACCGACGGAAUCCUUCGGGAGGAAGAUGGUAUGGACUGAGUGGCGGACGGGUGAGUAACGCGUGGGUAACCUGCCCUGUACAGGGGGACAACAGUUAGAAAUGACUGCUAAUACCGCAUAAGCGCACAGUACCGCAUGGUACAGUGCGAAAAACUCCGGUGGUACAGGAUGGGCCCGCGUCUGAUUAGCUAGUUGGCGGGGUAAACGGCCCACCAAGGCGACGAUCAGUAGCCGGACUGAGAGGUUGACCGGCCACAUUGGGACUGAGAUACGGCCCAGACUCCUACGGGAGGCAGGCAGUGGGGAAUAUUGGGGCAAUGGGCGCAAGCCUGACCCAGCAACG